UACGAGGGGGGCGAGCGUUGUUCGGAAUUAUUGGGCGUAAAGGGUGCGUAGGCGGUUUGGUAAGUCUUAUGUGAAAUCUACAGGCUCAACUUGUAGUCUGCAUGAGAAACUGCCGGGCUUGAGUAUGGGAGAGGUGAGUGGAAUUCCUGGUGUAACGGUGAAAUGCGUAGAUAUCAGGAGGAACACCUGUGGCGAAAGCGGCUCACUGGACCAUAACUGACGCUGAUGCACGAAAGCUAGGGGAGCAAACAGG
rnacentral:rRNA from 1 species